rnacentral:rRNA from 1 species
ACAGAGGGGGCAAGCGUUAUUCGGAAUUAUUGGGCGUAAAGGGCGCGUAGGCGGCCACCGCAAGUCGACUGUGAAAUCUCCGGGCUUAACUCGGAAAGGUCAGCCGAUACUGCGGGGCUAGAGUGCAGAAGGGGCAACUGGAAUUCUUGGUGUAGCGGUGAAAUGCGUAGAUAUCAAGAGGAACACCUGCGGCGAAGGCGGGUUGCUGGGCUGACACUGACGCUGAUGCGCGAAAGCUAGGGGAGCAAACGGGA